AGUGAACGCUGGCGGUAGGCCUACACAUGCCCGUCGAACGGCAGCACAGUAAGAGCUUGCUCUUACGGGUGGCGAGUGGCGGACGGGUGAGGAAUACAUCGGAAUCUACUUUUUCGUGGGGGAUAACGUAGGGAAACUUACGCUAAUACCGCAUACGACCUACGGGUGAAAGCAGGGGAUCUUCUGACCUUGCGCGAUUGAAUGAGCCGAUGUCGGAUUAGCUAGUUGGCGGGGUAAAGGCCCACCAAGGCGACGAUACGUAGCUGGUCUGAGAGGAUGAUCAGCCACACUGGAACUGAGACACGGUCCAGACUCCUACGGGAGGCAGCAGUGGGGAAUAUUGGACAAUGGGCGAAAGCAUGAUCCAGCCAUACCGCGUGGGUGAAGAAGGCCUUCGGGUUGUAAAGCCCUUUUGUUGGGAAAGAAAAGCAGCAGGUUAAUACCCCGCUGUUCUGACGGUACCCAAAGAAUAAGCACCGGCUAACUCCGUG
rnacentral:rRNA from 1 species